rnacentral:rRNA from 1 species
UAGGGAAUUUUGCACAAUGGGGGAAACCCUGAUGCAGCGACGCCGCGUGAUUUAGAAGGCCUUCGGGUUGUAAAAAUCUUUUGUAUAGGAAGAAAAUGACAGUACUAUACGAAUAAGGACCGGCUAAUUACGUGCCAGCAGCCGCGGUAAUACGUAAGGUCCGAGCGUUGUCCGGAAUCAUUGGGCGUAAAGGGUACGUAGGCGGGUAAGCAAGUUAGAAGUGAAAUCCUAUAGCUCAACUAUAGUAAGCUUUUAAAACUGCUCAUCUUGAGGUAUGGAAGGGAAAGUGGAAUUCCUAGUGUAGCGGUGAAAUGCGCAGAUAUUAGGAGGAAUACCGGUGGCGAAGGCGACUUUCUGGCCAUAACCUGACGCUGAGGUACGAAAGCGUGGGUAGCAAACAGG